rnacentral:tRNA from 1 species
GGGCCUGUGGUCUAGCCCGGUAUGACGCCACCUUCACACGGUGGAGAUCCCCAGUUCAAAUCUGGGCAGGCCCA